GUGUCUCUGACAGACCUCGAGCUGUUAAUGUCUGCUGCUUAGGUUUCCACUAUAGAGGCAAGAAAAAGAAAGUCCUCACGCUGUUUUGUCGGUCUGGUUAUGGCAGCAAAGGUUGAAUGGAGCAAUACAGGA
rnacentral:snoRNA from 1 species